UCUUAUGGGUGGCGAGUGGCGGACGGGUGAGGAAUACAUCGGAAUCUACUUUUUCGUGGGGGAUAACGUAGGGAAACUUACGCUAAUACCGCAUACGACCUACGGGUGAAAGCAGGGGAUCUUCGGACCUUGCGCGAUUGAAUGAGCCGAUGUCGGAUUAGCUAGUUGGCGGGGUAAAGGCCCACCAAGGCGACGAUCCGUAGCUGGUCUGAGAGGAUGAUCAGCCACACUGGAACUGAGACACGGUCCAGACUCCUACGGGAGGCAGCAGUGGGGAAUAUUGGACAAUGGGCGCAAGCCUGAUCCAGCCAUACCGCGUGGGUGAAGAAGGCCUUCGGGUUGUAAAGCCCUUUUGUUGGGAAAGAAAUCCAGCCGGUUAAUACCUGGUUGGGAUGACGGUACCCAAAGAAUAAGCACCGGCUAACUUCGUGCCAGCAGCCGCGGUAAUACGAAGGGUGCAAGCGUUACUCGGAAUUACUGGGCGUAAAGCGUGCGUAGGUGGUUGUUUAAGUCUGUUGUGAAAGCCCUGGGCUCAACCUGGGAACUGCAGUGGAAACUGGACGACUAGAGUGUGGUAGAGGGUAGCGGAAUUCCUGGUGUAGCAGUGAAAUGCGUAGAGAUCAGGAGGAACAUCCAUGGCGAAGGCAGCUACCUGGACCAACACUGACACUGAGGCACGAAAGCGUGGG
rnacentral:rRNA from 1 species